CGUGUAGGCGGUUGGGCAAGUCAGAUGUGAAAGCCUUCCGCUCAACGGAAGAAGGGCAUUUGAAACUACCCGGCUGGAGUACGGGAGAGGAGAGUGGAAUUCCCGGUGUAGAGGUGAAAUUCGUAGAUAUCGGGAGGAACACCAGUGGCGAAGGCGGCUCUCUGGUCCGAUACUGACGCUGAGACGCGAAAGCGUGGGAGGCAAACAGGAUUAGAUACCCUGGUAGUCCACGCCGUAAACGAUGGGCACUAGGUGUAGGAGGUAUUGACCCCUUCUGUGCCGAAGCUAACGCAUUAAGUGCCCCGCCUGGGGAGUACGGCCGCAAGGCUAAA
rnacentral:rRNA from 1 species